GGAGGGCUACCCCUAACUGGUAAGGGAGCGGUCUUGAAAACCGCCGCGCCGAAAGCGCUUGUGGGUUCGAGUCCCACGUCCUCCG
rnacentral:tRNA from 1 species